rnacentral:rRNA from 1 species
AUUGAACGCUGGCGGCAUGCCUUACACAUGCAAGUCGAACGGCAGCAUAGAGAGCUUGCUCUCUGAUGGCGAGUGGCGAACGGGUGAGUAAAGCAUCGGAACGUACCGUGUAGUGGGGGAUAACGUAGCGAAAGUUACGCUAAUACCGCAUACGCACUGAGGUGGAAAGCAGGGGAUCGCAAGACCUUGCGCUAUACGAGCGGACGAUGUCAGAUUAGCUAGUUGGUAGGGUAAAGGCCUACCAAGGCGACGAUCUGUAGCGGGUCUGAGAGGAUGAUCCGCCACACUGGGACUGUGACACGGCCCAGACUCCUACGGGAGGCAGCAGUGGGGAAUUUUGGACAAUGGGGGCAAGCCUGAUCCAGCCAUGCCGCGUGAGUGAAGAAGGCCUUCGGGUUGUAAAGCUCUUUCGGCCGGGAAGAAAUCGCACAGGCUAAUACUCUGUGUGGAUGACGGUACCGGCAUAAGAAGCACCGGCUAACUACGUGCCAGCCGCCGCCGUAA